rnacentral:rRNA from 1 species
AGACUGGGAUAACUCCGGGAAACCGGGGCUAAUACCGGAUAACAUUUUGCACCGCAUGGUGCGAAAUUCAAAGGCGGCUUCGGCUGUCACUUAUGGAUGGACCCGCGUCGCAUUAGCUAGUUGGUGAGGUAACGGCUCACCAAGGCAACGAUGCGUAGCCGACCUGAGAGGGUGAUCGGCCACACUGGGACUGAGACACGGCCCAGACUCCUACGGGAGGCAGCAGUAGGGAAUCUUCCGCAAUGGACGAAAGUCUGACGGAGCAACGCCGCGUGAGUGAUGAAGGCUUUCGGGUCGUAAAACUCUGUUGUUAGGGAAGAACAAGUGCUAGUUGAAUAAGCUGGCACCUUGACGGUACCUAACCAGAAAGCCACGGCUAACUACGUGCCAGCAGCCGCGGUAAUACGUAGGUGGCAAGCGUUAUCCGGAAUUAUUGGGCGUAAAGCGCGCGCAGGUGGUUUCUUAAGUCUGAUGUGAAAGCCCACGGCUCAACCGUGGAGGGUCAUUGGAAACUGGGAGACUUGAGUGCAGAAGAGGAAAGUGGAAUUCCAU